GCACUCCACUUGCUCCGGAGUUGCCUAUUUGAUAUGUUAUGUUGGUACUCGGUUGAGUAAGGUAACGGGUGCCCGUCGCAGUCCAUCGGUUUGGUUCGUGACAAUUUCACAUUGGUUUCAAUCACCUUUUUUCAUAAAGACAUGACAUAGAGAUCUCUUCAUUCAUAUUUUCAGGACUGCAUCCACUGCUCUGUGAUUACAUUACAUAGUCUGCUGCUCAGGACAGUAAAAUUCCAGCACAUAUGACUACAUGGUGUAUACUCAACAAUCUACCCCUUGGGCCCCACCAUCUAAACCAGGACGGCACAGAGGAUUUACAGUCAACAUCAUGAAAGAAGCUCACUUGGAGAUGUAUCAGGAACAAUCAGCGCAACACCCUCACUUGAAG